UACGAAGGGGGCAAGCGUUGUUCGGAGUUACUGGGCGUAAAGGGUGUGUAGGCGGUUGUUUAAGUUUGGUGUGAAAUCUCCCGGCUCAACUGGGAGGGUGCGCCGAAUACUGAAUGACUUCGAGUGCGGGAGAGGAGAGUGGAAUUCCUGGUGUAGCGGUGAAAUGCGUAGAUAUCAGGAGGAACACCGGUGGUGUAGACGGCUCUCUGGACCGUAACUGACGCUGAGACACGAAAGCGUGGGUAGCAAACAGG
rnacentral:rRNA from 1 species